rnacentral:rRNA from 1 species
AUUGAACGCUGGCGGCCGGCCUAACACAUGCAAGUCGAGCGAGCGGCGGACGGGUGAGUAAUGUCUGGGAAACUGCCUGAUGGAGGGGGAUAACUACUGGAAACGGUAGCGAAUACCGCAUACCAUCAGCUUUGCCCAGAUGGUAUUAGCUAGUAGGUGGGGUAACGGCUCAACUAGGCGACGAUCCCUAGCUGGUCUGAGAGGAUGACCAGCCACACUGGAACUGAGACACGGGCCAGACUCCGACGGGAGGCAGCAGUGGGGAAUAUUGCACAAUGGGCGCAAGCCUGAUGCAGCCAUGCCGCGUGGGUGAAGAAGGCCUUCGGGUUGUAAAGCACUUUCAGCGGGGAGGCGUUACCCGCAGAAGAAGCACCGGCUAACUCCGUGCCAGCAGCCGCGGUAAUAC